rnacentral:misc_RNA from 1 species
UUAAGUUCAGCGGGUAGUCCUACCUGAUUUGAGAUCGAACGUUAAAAAAGCUGUCCUCACCGAGGAGAGACGUCUAUGAGCCCCAGCGAACCUCCACUGCUGGAGGUUACCUGGUGGACAAUCGCAAGCGUAGAUAGUUAUCACACCCGUGAUGCCACCAAACACUGGCAAGCUGAUUCAUUUGAGAGGAGCCGACCGUA